ACAUCUCUUACAACUAUAUACAUGCCGAUUACAUAGAGCAAAAAUUUGAGCUCAAGCUCUUACCCGCCCUUGGCAAUGCCAUAUUUGAUGGCCUGAUCCAAC